rnacentral:tRNA from 1 species
AGCCUCGUAGCUCAGCUGGUGGAGCAUGCGCGUACAAAGCGUAGGCGGUGUCCAUGCGUGGGUUCAAAUCCCACCGAGGCUA